UUUUUAUGUUUUUAAAGAUAUUAAUCUUCAGUAGAAAAAAAAAAAAAAAAGAGUUUUUCCUCUCUGCGUCCUGUAAUACCUAUGGAAUCACACUACCAACCUGGAAUCACACUACCAACCUGCCUUGAAAUCCUGAUAGAGAUAAAGCAUUCUAAUUUCCUUACAAGACAAGCUAGCAAACUGUAGCACGUCUAACUGAUAUCUCAUGGCAGACCAGCUUACUUUCACCUCUUGAGCAAGUGAGAGACAUAGGAAGAAAAAGCUUCCUCAAGAUAACAGCAGAAGCUUGAGUACGUGCACUCAGUGGAUCAAAACAUGAAGCUUAGCUGACAGCAUUUCCUUCUCCAUCCACAACACUGGUAUCCUCUGCCUGAUAUUUCCAAGGAGGAACAGUUCUCUGGUGGGAACUUCAAGAGCUCUGAGCAGGGGGAUCACCCCUUUCCUCAGUCUGCCACUGCAGCCCAGCCAGCCUGCACACUGUGGGGCACUGCCCGUGCCCAUUGCUGCCCUGCCCAGACUUGCUGAGGGUGCACUGUGUCCCACUGCCCAGGCCACUGGGAAGGGUGCUCUGUUCCAGGAGCUUCCUCUGAGAAAUGUCACGCAAGACUUGUUGCUAGCCAGGCUGUGAGUUUCUCCUGAGCAUCUCUUGGAGUUUCUCAGCCUACCCUGUGGUUCACAAAGCCUGUCCACAUUUUUAGUUUGUUUGCAAGAGUUCUGCACAUCAAAAACCUUGAAAAUUUCAAGGUAUACUUUACUAUUCUUAAUCUUGACAUUUGUUCUUUUAUACAUUUUUACUUUUAAAAACACCUGAAUACUUAAAAAUGCAAAUUAAGCUUACUUGGGAAAAUAAAAAAUAAAAGCUAGUUCA
rnacentral:lncRNA from 1 species